GCGGAGGCUGCGGUCCCAAUAGUAUAUGACACCACAGCACUUUAGGAUGGACGCGGGGGGUUUGUGGCGGCGACGGUCCCAAUAGUACAUGACCACACCACACCACACCGAAGAACGAUUUUCAGCGUCAGUCUUUUGCUAAAUUUGCAUGUGAGUGAAAGUUUUAACGUGAUAAUAUAUAACAUUAUUUUUCAACGAUGAGCAACUUGCGAGAUCUAAUUCGAAUUAGAUACGAGUAUCCCAUGGAAGGAGUAAAUUGUUUUUUUAUCAAACAUUUUAGUGAUUUUUGCGCUUCAUUUUAGUGAUUUUGCAUCUUUUUACUUUUCAGUACCUUAUGGUCGACAACAAGCCGCAAGUCCGGCUACAAUUACGAGAUGAGGUGGGGGUGCAAAUUAUCCCCUCAGUAAGUAUAACAAAUAGAUUUAUUUUCUAUUUUUUUCUUUUUUCCUUUUAAAUUCAUUUUGUUCAUUUUUUUUCAGCCUGUAUCUCCAUCUUUUAUUCAAAUCAGAGGCUUCAUUAACAUAGCCACUUGGCGAAUAAAAAGAAACAAAAGAGAAUGCGACCGGGAGAAUCAAAUAGACAUGUGGGAAGAAAGGGAUUUCUUCCUAGCAGAAUUAUUUGGUCUCCGACCGUACGAGCCUGAUCCGGAGCCGGAAGACUGGAAUUAAAAACGACGGCUAUCAUUUUUUUUUAAUUUGGGGACGCGGCGGUGGUGGUGGCACUGGUGCCUGCGGCGGGGGUGGCGGCGUCUGCGAUGAUGGGUGGCGGCGGUUCCAAUAAUACGUGACACCGCACAUGGCGACACAUCAGUAACAUCGAUAGCACCGGCACAUAAACAUCGAUAGCGCUGGGACUUC